UAAUUUAAUGUAACGGCUAAGUGAUAACAUAACGUUAAGAAAAGAGCCGCAGAUUAAUUACAAAAUUUCCAUAGGUGUGAUGUUGUGUUAUGACGACUCCUUUUUAAGUGAUAAGUGUUC